rnacentral:lncRNA from 1 species
AAAGACUGGUUUAGUCUUUAUGUAAGACAUCAUGAAUCGUGUCCCAUAUGCUUCGGAUAUAGGAUCGAUUACAUGUGCUAUAUUCAUCCGUUCUAAAAUUUUCCAAAUGCCUGGGGCAUUAAGAAGGGAAAAGGUUUAGAACUGGAUAUGACUAAAAGGAUUAAACAAUUGUCGAGGACAAUCUAAGGUUUACCAAAGAUUGGUUACUCAAGGACAAUUGGAAGUAUAGUGAUAAUUCUGGAAGGACCAUAUUGACAUAAUCUGUAAGGAGGCAACUCUUGUUCAGAAGUGAUAGUCAAAAUGGAAUCUGGAAAUGUUUCAAAGUUAGAAUUUUCAAUCUGUGUAAGAUUAAGGAAACUUAAUGCAAGAAGGAUAUUUCCAAGGAGUUGAUCUCCUUUGGAAUACUCUGUAAUGAUUGUUGCCAAGUCUUUGUGACUUUGUGCAUAAUCAUUACAAGAGGAUCAAUGCAUAUAAGUUUAGAAUCUAACAGAUUUCAGUAAAUGGCAUGAAUUUGGAAUUCUUGCAUUUGCAGUAAGGAUUUGGGAGUGUGAAAAGAGAAUCAUUGAAGUUAUGUUCAAUUGAUCUAGUUCACAAAGUAAAGAUCAUAGACAAACAUAGUAUGCAUACUUGGUGUGUGGCAUGACUAGUGUUUAAGAAAACAUAGUGUACAUGCUUGGAGCAUGGGACAACUAUUGUUUUAAAUUCAAGAAUAAAGUUGAUAGCUGAAACAGUAUACAAUGAAUAAUGUGUAAUCAUAUGGUGAUAAAUAAAAGGUGUUUUAUUUAUGUUCAAAGGGUUGAUACCAUAUUGGAUUCAAUUAUUAUUGUGUUUCAUUUUGCAUGUUUUGACUUCCCGAAUAAACUGGGUUAUUCUUCCGGAAUGACUAAGUUAUUCAAACCAUCCACAGUCGGUCAUAUGUUGGAAGUAGAUAUGAAUUAAGACUGUCAUGGGUUGGCUUGUAGAGGUCUAAGGUGUUGGACAAAGGGCUACAACACUCAUGAGUGCUCAUAAGUUCUGAGUAUUGGAUUCAACCCGCGCUCAUUGGAAUCACUUCAUGGAUUUUAUCACGAGUGAUCAUGAGACGAUAAUAUCUUAUAUUCUUCAAACCUAGAGAUAUGAGUUGUUACUAUGAGUUGAUAGUACAUUGAUUGCACGAAAACGCAUUUGGUAACUCGGUGCUAUAAAACGUGCCUUUGUGUAUGAUUCAACAAGUAGUAGAACAAGCCAUAUGAGUCGAAGUUUAUCCAUUCCUUUUACCUUCGGGAUAAAAGCGAUAUCUGUGGGCCCCUCGAUGAUUUGAUGAUGACAAAUGGAAGUGCUCGGCCGGGCCAGGACUGAUUUGAUUUGUUCAAUUAGUCAGUCGUCAUAAAUCGGAAAUCGGGAAACAACAAAUGGACAGAGAGAAUGAUUAUAAUCCAUGUCUCAGUCCAUAUGAUAUCUAGAAUGGAGGAAUAUAUGAUCCCUUAUCUAAUGGACAAGUCAUUGACAAAGGUCAGAGUUCAUCUACAAGGUCAGAGUUCGACAGAAGCUUUUGAGAGCUACGAUUGCCAGUUGGUUCCUGAAGUCAUACGCAAUAAUAGUUUUAGACUUAUCCAAGUGGGAGACUGUUGGAUUAAUGUCUAAGUCCAUAACUAUAAUUGGUAAGACUUGACCCGACCCGGCAUGGUCCAUUUGGGUUGCAUACCAUCAUGCACUUGGAUAGACUAUAAUGAGAGAAAUAAGACACUUAUGGUUAUUAAUAUAUUAUAAGUUCUAGUAUAUUAAUAAUAAGAAUAAUAAGAUUAUUUAAUUAGUAUUGAUCAAGAAUUAAUCUAGGAUUAAUUAAGUGAUCAAAAGAAGACUAAUUAAAUAUAUGGGUUGAUUGUGUAAAUCAUCCAUACUUGUAUAGUGGGCUAAUGCUCCAUGGAUAAUCAAGUUGGGCUAAAACCCAUAGGAUGGUCCAUGGAUGCUCCAUGGUGUAUUUGUACCCAUGGAUCCAAGGAAAUGGAAAGCCAUGACAAUUAAGAGUUUACCCUAAUUGUGUAACUAUAUAAGCAUCUUAUUAUUGAGGAAAAAUCGGCCACUAGUGAUAGUGAAGAAAGGGCUAGCCGAUUUUGAAGAGUGUAGAAUUCUCUCAAGUCAUUCCAAGUGUUUUGAUGAUUGUGAUUCCAUUUGAGGUGUCACACUUGGGGCACUAGGCACUCAAGCUUCAUGAAGACUUUCUACAUCAAAGAGGUAUGUAUUCUAUCUUGUUAUAGUCAUUGUUUUGUAUGCUAGAUUAGGAUAAUACCUUGGAAGUUCUUAUUUGCAUGUAUAAUAGAGAAAACAUAGAUCCAAGGUAUUUAGGGUUGCAUGUACACUUAGGAGUGUUAGAAUGCUCAAAACCCAACAGUGGUAUCAGAGCCUAGGCUUGUUUUCUUGUUAUACCUGCAAUAGAAGCUGAAAAAACGAAUCUGGUGCUGUCUGGCCAUCAGACUCGGCGAGUCCAUCAGGAGACUCGACGAGUCCAUGCCUAAAAAGUGAUGAAUUCGAUCCAACUCGCCGAGUUUGUUCAUGCACUCGACGAGUUGGACCCCCAGACAGCAUAUUUUCGAGUUUUUUGGCUAGAAAUGGACUAGGAACAUUACCCUAAGUUGUUUUUGAACUUAUAAACUUGUUUUUGAUGUGGUAAUGUUCAUGCUAAUCCAUUUUCAAAGAUAAUUGUCAAUAGAUUCAUGUUUUGUAUUAGUUUAAGGUUUAGACUAAUUACAUGAAAAAGUUUGAUUUGAAUUAUCUUGUUCUUAUGAGUUGCUUAGAUUAAUAGAAAUGUUGAGUGAAAUAGUUGUUUUCAAUCCAUUUUAAUCUAAGAGUUGAGUAUAAAAUGUGUUUGUGUAACUUGUCCUCAAGUUACAUGAAGAGUCACAUUAAAGACUCAUAAAACUCAUAAAAGUUGGCAAUGGUUACAAAAUGAAGAGUCUUGUGUCAUUGAAUAAUUUUUUUUGACUCCAUAACUUGUCCUCAAGUUAUGGAAGUUCAAGAGUCACUUCAUUAAAGAAAAAUAUGUAACCAUAAUUAAAUCCAUAAGUUAUAAAAUAAAGAAAAAGUUAGUUCUUUUAUUAGUUUAAAGUCUUCCAUAACUUGUCCUCAAGUUAUGGAACUUGAAGAGUUUUUGGAUUAAAACUACUUUAAACACAUAAGUUAUGGAAUUAAUUAGUUUUGAAUAGUUUCAAAACUUGCCCUCAAGUUUUGGAAUUUGAAAAGUUUUCAAGUAUGAAUACUUUAAUUCCAAGUUAGCCCUUAGAAUUUUAAAAGUUAAAAUUCAACCCUUAUACUUUAUAAUAUUAUAAGUUAAUAAUAUAUAUAUGUAUAAGAGUAAAGUCAGUCUUACCGCUAGUACGCCUCAUUCACGAAGCCGGUCUAUAAGGUGGGUAUAAGGUUGUUGCCUAUAAAAUGGCAACUUAAUGGGUGUCCACUCUCACCCACCGCUUGCUUGACUGGUGGAGGGUCGUUAGCCGAACGGGUUUGACAGGACUAGAAUUCUCCCUUCAUUAAAAGUAUUAAUGAUAAUACUAAGUAACUAAACUCUUAAUAAUACCCAAUCUUAGUUACUUAGGAAAAAUGUGAAUAAGGUGCUAAUCCAUGAAAUUACACUUUACACUUUGUCUAAGUCGUUAGUGGAGCGUGUGUGGUUAACCGGCACACUAACUUGGACUUAACAAGGUAGGUAAAGGGUGACUUAAUAUUUAUCAUAGUAUCGAUGGAGCGUGUGUGGUUAACCGGCACAUCGAUUGAGGGGUAAUUUAUUAAGGGUACCAAGUGAUUUGCAUGGUUACUUCACACCUUGUUUUGUGAUCCUCGGCAUCCCAGUCACAAAACCUGAAGGGCACACUCGAGAUUGAAACAUGCCUUUGAAAAGUUCAAUGAAUCUCAAAGAUCUAGGAGUUUCAAAACCAAUUAAAACCUAAUAAUACAUUUCGUUUAUCUUGGUGGAAAUUGGUGAAUCGUCAUUCACCUACCUUCAAAUAUUUUAUAGCUUGGAUUACGGCAUACCUCUUCUAAGUUAUAAAAUAGUUUGUUGGGUCCUAGCCUUAAUAUUUCAUAUUGGGUGUCAUAUUAAGGACUUUAAAUCAACUAUCUUGAAUAUCUCCCAAAAGAUGUCUGGUUUAGACACCUAUGAUCUUCCCAAAUCUCUUGAAACAAGGUUUCCUAAUGAAGAUGAUGUCCCAUGGAUAUCAUACUUCUUCACCUCUUCAAAUUAUUCUCCCUAACCCACAAGUUCUUGAAAAGUUUAAGGUCACUCAGGCCCUAUUAGCAAGGCAAGGUCUAGGUGUGGUCACAUCUUGGAGAUGUAGUCACAUAUUGACAAGCCGGGAGAGUUGGGUGUCAAAGUCUUGAGAAAGUUGGUGGUUCAACCACUUUCUAAGUCACAUAGUGAGUUCCUUUGGGACACCUAUGAAACAGACUAUGACAAGACCCUUAAUGAUCUUAUCUAUUUGCUAAGAUCAACUUCCUAAAACUUUAUGGACAUUGACAAUGAUGACAUUGGAUAUCCAGUAAAGCAUUCUCUUCCCAAUGGAAAGGGAUCGGCCAUAGUCAACUCGGUUGACCAAAUGGUAAAGAGAAAAGCUAAGUCUGUGAUAGUCCCGUGUACCAUUAUCAAAGGGUCCAUAUGUUUAUAUUGCCAAAGGAAGGGGCAUUGGUUGCGAAGCUGCCAAAUUUACCUAAGGAUGUUAAAGUCAAUAAGUUUGACUCUACUUCAGGUAAAGUCCACUAUCUAACUCUGUUAAGUUUCUAUUCUGAGAUUCUUGAUACAUGAUGUGACUGGGUCACAUGGUGAUGUUUUAAGAAUCAAAGAAAAGUGAAGAAACUUAAAGAAAGAAUAUGCUGAAUCUGAUGGCGUAGAUGGAUUUCUAUCGCAUAGUUUGAAGAUCGGAUUCUUGAGCUACUUCUUAGGAGUUAUGAGAUAUUGCUUAGGAAUAGAUAACAACAAGUUUUCAUAUGGAUUGUAAGGAUAAGUUUUUCCGCAAAGUUUUAAAAUAAAAGAAAAUUUUUUUGAUUUUAUUUAUUUUAAAAUAUCCUUACAAUGGCUUUUGAGGAAAAAUUGUUGCUUAUAUGAUUCCAUUAAGAGCAAGAGUGGAAAUAUGAAAUUGAUUCUUUCAUUUGUGGUAAUGUCUAGAUUUACCAAAUAAGGAAAGAUUCUCAUCACCCAAGUUUCAAUUGGACCGGAACUUGGAAUCAUGCAAGUUGUAUAGCAUGAUGAAUGAGAACUUUCAAGUUUUGGAAAAUUAAGACUAAUUACUUGUUCACAUGGAUGUGUGAGUCAAGUAAAGGACUAAGGGAUCGAGUACACAUUCUUGUGCACUGAUUAAGUCCACCACUAAAGAUCGAUAAGAAGAAUCAAAUAAGGCAGAAGGAUAAAAGUUUCUCAAAUCUGAAAAGAUGGGAGAGUACUUUAGUAUCAGUUUUGUGAUCAUCUUAAUGAUUAAGAAACCAUAUCAAAAUUAGUUCUCUAAGGAAAUCUUAGUGCAUUCUUAUGACUAAGAAGAGGAACUUGAAUUGUUGAAAUGGUUAAAUCAAGAAGAUGAGUCAUACUUCGUUCCAAUACAAGUCUUAGAGUCAUACUCCAAGAUUGUCAUUUGAGUGACAUGUCUUAAAGAAGGUUUAAAACACUUGUCAAAUGUAAGAGUAAAAGUUUUCUACUCUUGUACAUUUGAAAUUGGUAAGUUGUGAUGUUUUGGAUAAAACAAAGACCAACUUAGGCCAAUUGGGUAAAGUGUUUUUCUUGAUUAGAAUCCGCACUAUCUCUUGGAUGUUUGACAAGGGAGUCUUAUAUGUCAAGAGGACAGUGGGAGUCUUAAAGGUCUUGAAAGUCUCAAGAAAUAAUCAAGAAUAAAACCUAAAGUUCUUCACUAGCACACGACUUGAGGUUUAUAACCUAUCGUGUUGACAUAUCUGUGCCCAUUCCAGUUAAAGUUGGCUUUGCAUAUGAGUUCUUAGAGUUCUCAGUUUGUUGCAUAACAACUUGGAAGCAAUGGCAGGCCCUUGAGCUGCCAGGUGGCAAGAAGUUAAGAUUGAGUUCAAUCCAUAUGGUUUUGGAUUUGUCAUUAUCUUUGUCUUGUGAUUAUGGUUUGACAAAUUCAUAUGGGUAGGAACUCAUACACCAUAUAAAUCUAAGUGUCAUAAGGUUUCUCUCCGAUUCAUGAAAAUGAUGGUGAGGAAACGCUUUCACUAAGUAGAUUUUACGAAGAUAUCAAUUGUGUUAUUUGCAUUUUCAAAAGUCGUUAGUGGAGCGCGUGUGGUUAACCGGCACACUAACAUGGACUUGUGAGAAAUGGCAAAUGCCUAAGCAAUUGAGACCAUGAUUACGGUAUCCCUUUUCAUGGUUCUUGAAAUUGCUUAGACACACAGGUGAGCUAUCUACGGAAAGGGUGUAUGAAUCUAAAUUUCAGACUGUCCAGCUGAUUUCUGAGUACAUGUCAAAGCUAGUGGGAGCAUAAGUGUUAUGCUAAUAAUCAUCAUGUUAGUGGGAGCAUGAUAAUUAUGAUAAGUAUUGCAAGUUAGCAAUGUUAAUUAUAGAAAACAAAAGUUUCAAUUGGGAAAAAGUUGUUUUGCUAUAAUUAAGGGAGAGGAAAUUAUGCUUCAUCUCAAAUCUAUAAGCUUAGAUCGUGAGGUUUUAAUCAUUUAGUCAAGGAUAUAUAUGAAUUUCAUGUUGGAAUGGCUCAACAUAAGGAAAUUCUGUAUAUGGGUCCAUUAUUUGCGUUCUAAAAUUCGAUUAUGAUUACGGCAUCCCUUUUCAUAAUCUGAAUUAUGAGAACUUGGCAAAUUGAAAUGGAAAUAUUAUAGCAAAAGACUGGUUUAGUCUUUAUGUAAGACAUCAUGAAUCGUGUCCCAUAUGCUUCGGAUAUAGGAUCGAUUACAUGUGCUAUAUUCAUCCGUUCUAAAAUUUUCCAAAUGCCUGGGGCAUUAAGAAGGGAAAAGGUUUAGAACUGGAUAUGACUAAAAGGAUUAAACAAUUGUCGAGGACAAUCUAAGGUUUACCAAAGAUUGGUUACUCAAGGACAAUUGGAAGUAUAGUGAUAAUUCUGGAAGGACCAUAUUGACAUAAUCUGUAAGGAGGCAACUCUUGUUCAGAAGUGAUAGUCAAAAUGGAAUCUAGAAAUGUUUCAAAGUUAGAAUUUUCAAUCUGUUUAAGAUUAGGAAACUUAAUUCAAGAAGGAUGUUCCCAAGGAGCUGAUCUCCUUUGGA